GCCGGGCGCAGUGGCACACACCUGUAGUCCCAGCUACUCCCGAGGCUGAGGUGGGAGGACUGCUCGAGCCCAGGAGUUCUGGACUGUAGUGCGCUAUGCCGAUCGCGUGUCUGCACUAAGUUCGGCAUCAAUAUGGUGAACUACCGGGAGUGGGGGACCACCAGGUUGCCUAAGGAGGGGUGAACCGGCCCAGGUCGGAAACAAAACAGGUCAAAACUCCCGUGCUGAUCAGUAAUGGGAUUGCGCCUGUGAAUAGCCACUGCACUCCAGCCUGGGCAACAUAGCAAGACACUGUCUCU
rnacentral:SRP_RNA from 1 species